rnacentral:rRNA from 1 species
UACAGAGGUCUCAAGCGUUGUUCGGAUUCAUUGGGCGUAAAGGGUGCGUAGGCGGCGCGGUAAGUCGGGUGUGAAAUCUCGGAGCUUAACUCCGAAACUGCAUUCGAUACUGCCGUGCUUGAGGGUUGGAGGGGGGACUGGAAUUCUCGGUGUAGCAGUGAAAUGCGUAGAUAUCGAGAGGAACACCAGUGGCGAAGGCGAGUCCCUGGACAACUCCUGACGCUGAGGCACGAAAGCUAGGGGAGCAAACAGG